UGGCCACCUUUGUAGAGCUCAGUACCAAAGACAAGAUGGCCAUCAUAGGCCUGGAGACCUGGAAGUCUCCUCCAGGCAAAGUUGAAGAAACUAUGAAGGUGGCCCUUGAUGUGAGAUAUUGCCACAUUGACUGUGCCUGUCUAUGUGAGAAUGAAGAUGAGGUGGGGAAGCCAUCCAGGAGAAGAUCCAAGAGAAGACUGUCAAACAGGAGUACCGCUUUAUCAUUAGCAAGUUGAGGCUCACCUUCUUUGAGAGACCCCUUGUUAAGGAGGCCUGUCAGAAGAUCCACAGGUACCUGAAACUGAACUACCUGGACAUCUGUUUUAUUCGCUGGACACAGGGAUUCCAGCCUGGGCAGUAGUUUCUCCCCAAAGAUGAUAAAGGUAAUGUCAUCAGCAUUAAAGCAUUCUUUGUUGCUUGGGAGGCCAUGAAGGAGGUGGUGGACAAAGGGCUGGUGAAUGUUCUCUAACUUCAAUUACUUCCAGAGACUCUGGAACAAACCUGGACUGAAAUAUAAAGCAGUAACUAACCAGGUUGACUUAUCUAACGCAAGAGAAACUGAUCCAGUCCUGCCACUCCAAGGGCAUCAACUGUUACAGCCUACAGCCCCCUAGCUUCUCCAGAUAGACCUUGGGCCAAGCCAAAAGACUAAGGAGAUUGCUGCAAGCACAAAUAAAUAAAUAAAUAAAUAAAUAAAUAAAUAAAUAAAUAAAUAAAUAAAUAAAAAGCCCAGGUUCUGAUCCAUUUCCAAAUCCAGAGGAAUGUGGUUGUGAUCCCCAAGUCAGUGUGCAUUGUUGAGAAUUUUCAGGUAUUUGACUUUAAGUGAUGUGUAGUUGAUAACCACAUUCAACUUGAACAGAAACUGGAGGGCCUGAGACAUAAGCCAAUCCUCUCACUUGGAGGACAGUCCCUUCAAUGCGUAAGAUU
rnacentral:lncRNA from 1 species